GCUGGGUGUGGUGGUGUGCACCUGUAAUCCCAACUACUCAGGAGACUGAGGCAGGAGAAUUGCUUGAACCCAGGAGGUGGAGGUUGUAGUGAGCCGAGAUUGUGCCACUGCACUCCAGCCUGGGUGACAGAGCAAGAUUCUGUCUCAA
ensembl:misc_RNA Metazoa_SRP Metazoan signal recognition particle RNA